rnacentral:lncRNA from 1 species
CGCCAACCCAGACAGGAAGACCACGUCAGUGACUCAACCCACUCAAGUGAUGCACCCCUCCCAGGGAUGGCAUGGAAGAACACCAGUAAGCCAGUGACUCAGCCCUGUCACUGUGCUACAGGUUAGUGUCUGUCUGUGUCACUGUGCUACAGGUUACUGUGUCUAUGUCACUGUGCUACAGGUUAGUGUGACUCUAUGUCACUGUGCUACAGGGUAGUGGGUGUCUAUGUCACUGUGCUACAGGGUAGUGUGUUUAUGUCACUGUGCUACAGGUUAGUGUGUUUGUCACUGUGCUACAGGUUAGUGUGUUUGUCACUGUGCUACAGGUUACUGUGUCUAUGUCACUGUGCUACAGGGUAGUGUGUGUCUAUGUCACUGUGCUACAGGUUAGUGUGUGUCUAUGUCACUGUGCUACAGGUUAGUGUGUGUCUAUGUCACUGUGCUACAGGUUAGUGUGUCUCUAUGUCAUUGUGCUACAGGUUAGUGUGUUUAUGUCACUGUGCUACAGGUUAGUGUGUGUCUCUGUCACUGUGCUGUCAUGACGUUGGCCUGUGGGUAAGGUUUAUGACCCCCCAUAAAUACCUUUCUCCCUUCCCCUCUCUCUCUGACCCUACUGAAGGACUUGAAUAGCCUGUGUUAACCUCUAUGGGCUAGUUGGAACGCUAGCGUGCCACCCGUGGUGCACUCCAUCAACAGCAGGUGCAUUUCAAGAGCGGCAAAUUUGAAUCCAAAUAAAUGUCAAAAUUCAAAUUUUUCAAACAUACAACUAUUUU